CAGCCGCCGCGGGAAUACGAAGGGUGCAAGCGUUAAUCGGAAUUACUGGGCGUAAAGCGUGCGUAGGCGGUGAGUUAAGUCUGCUGUGAAAUCCCCGGGCUCAACCUGGGAAUGGCAGUGGAUACUGGCUCGCUAGAGUGUGUCAGAGGAUGGUGGAAUUCCCGGUGUAGCGGUGAAAUGCGUAGAGAUCGGGAGGAACAUCAGUGGCGAAGGCGACUAUCUGGGCCAACACUGACACUGAGGCACGAAAGCGUGGGGAGCAAACAGGAUUAGAUACCCGUGUAGUCCCUGUCUCUUAUAA
rnacentral:rRNA from 1 species